rnacentral:lncRNA from 1 species
GACCUCUUGCAGGUGAACCUACUGUGUUAUGAUUUGGAUCCACAAGUGUCCACGCAUAGCCAUGGUAUGCCAAACCAAGAACGACUUUAUUGGCUGGUAAGCCAUUCUUGAUCCAUUCUUUUAUACCAUAGUCUGUAUUUCGCGUGCUAGCUGGAUCAUACAAAGCUGUGUGUGCUCCUGUAAUGUUAUCUUCUGCGGGCAAGUAAUAGUCAUAUGCCAUGACAUUCACCCAAUCGAAGUUUCUGACGAUUGUAUCUACUGGAUAAAUCAUCGAUUCUAGCAUUGGUGAAUAGUGUGCUCCCAUAGUCAAGAUCAGUCUUUUGGUACCAGAACUUUUUGACUCAGAAUUAAUCGCUGUUCGCCACUCUUCAAUGAAUGUUCUCAUAUUAGUCAUGUUGGCAGCUGUAUUUGGGUUGACACCAUUAAGCUCCAGCCCUUGAAAUCCAUAUUGUCGAGCAGUUCUUAUUGACGUUGUGAUGAAAGAUUUCCUACGCGAAAACUGGCUAGUCAUCGCGAAAAAGUCAG